rnacentral:rRNA from 1 species
UACAGAGGUCUCAAGCGUUGUUCGGAUUCAUUGGGCGUAAAGGGUGCGUAGGCGGCGCGGUAAGUCGGGUGUGAAAUUUCGAGGCUUAACUCCGAAACUGCAUUCGAUACUGCCGUGCUUGAGGACUGGAGAGGAGACUGGAAUUUACGGUGUAGCGGUGAAAUGCGUAGAUAUCGUAAGGAAGACCAGUGGCGAAGACGGGUCUCUGGACAGUUCCUGACGCUGAGGCACGAAGGCCAGGGGAGCAAACGGG